AAGAUACUAGUAUAGCCGACAAUACACUGCCUUGUCAAGGCAGAAUCGUGGGUUAAACCCCCACGUAUCUUG
rnacentral:tRNA from 1 species